GGCCUAAUGGUCUAGUAGUAUGAUUCUCGCUUUGGGUAGGUUUGAACCAGCAAUCCUUAUGCGAGAGGUCCUGGGUUCAAUUCCCAGUUGGGCCC